AAUCAACGCUGGCGGCGUGCCUAACACAUGCAAGUCGAGCGAGAAAAGGUAGCAAUACCCUAGUAAAGCGGCGCACGGGUGAGUAACACGUGGAUAACCUGCCUCGAAGUGGGGAAUAACCCCGGGAAACCGGAGCUAAUACCGCAUAACCUGACGAUAUCUGUGGAUUUUGUCAGUAAAGGAGCAAUUCGCUUUGAGAGGGGUCCGCGGCUGAUUAGCUAGUUGGUGAGGUAAUGGCUCACCAAGGCCACGAUCAGUAGCCGGUCUGAG
rnacentral:rRNA from 1 species